AGGUCAGCCCACAGUGAUUCGUGGCUUACCAAAACACAAACGUAAAGGCAGCAAGGGCAGCACAGGAGAAAAGGAAAAGAUGCUGGUGCAGCAAGAAUGAAACUGUAACAUUUGUCUUCUCACGUCCCUGAAAGCUGCGGGAACCACAAGUUUCUAAAGGACCUGGUGAGCGAAAAGCAUGGCUGGAGCUGUGUGAGAAAGAGCGCUACUUGUGGGGGCCGGGAGGAAUGGAGGUGUCCACAUCUGAGACCUGGGGAGUCGUGAGGAAGCCAGGAGGCUCUGCUGUGGAGGCCAUAGGGGAAGCUAGUUGCAGAAGACCAUAACUUCAAUCUGGAAACUGAAGUGAACACAGGAAGGGGUUUGGCCCAACAAGGGGAAGUUCAGCUUUUGUGUGCUGCCAGUGACGUUGCUUAGACGUUGUUUUCUGAUUGGAAGAGUGAGCUGUGUGUUGUAUUCACAGAAAGGGGUGGACAUCCCCCCAAAUCAUCUUAUAAGAACCUGAAUUUUAGCUGGUUACAUGUCUGUCCAGGCAAAGACUACAUUUCCCAGACUCCCUUUCAGCUAACGUGGCCACGUAAUUAAAUUAUGGCUUUGGUCGUGAUGUUUGCAAACUCCCAGGUAAACCUUUAAAGGAAACUACUUGCCUUUUAUUUUCUCUUUCCUCCAUCCCAAAGCUGGACCACGGAGGUGAUGGAUGGUGGUAAGGCAGGCACAGGCUCAGAAAGGUGGAACAUUCAUACAGAAAGUUUCUGGGUUCUCUAAUAGUGCCUGGAGUAGGACUCUAUCAUGCAUCUGAUGUGCCUGUCAGUUUUGACUUUUACAGGGGAGAAAAGUAAACCACUUAUUUUGUAUAAGCUCUUUCUUUUUUGGUCUCUGUUAAAGCAGCUUUACCAAUAUUCUAAUUUGUAUAGAUACCAACUCAACAACUCAAAUGUGAGUGCUGUUCCUGUUUUGGUCAGUCAGCACAGUAUCUUACCAGGAUACCAUAUGAUGGAAGGAAUAGAAAUUAACAUCCUUUCCUGUGAGUUAACCCUUGCAUUAUCCCCUCUUCUUUUUUAGGGCUCUGCCCUGUCCUGCCCCACAUUAUACUUUAUUCCCAUAUAAAAACCAAAGGUCAAGGCAAGAUCUGGAUUGAAAUUACAUUUAUUUAUCUAUACAAUGGGAUUUCUGCCAACAAUUAAAACCUUGAUUUUCUAUGCUGCUGAUGCUUUGUUUUAGGGCAGAGUAAUUUUCAGAUAGGUUUGUAUUAUAUAUACACGUAGCUAUAUAUGAUGCAUUCAUCCACCCAUCCAUCCAUCCAUUCUUUUCUGGAGUAAUUUGGCCAUGUAGUGUGUACAGGGAACUAUUCAAAUAAAAUAAGAACCAAUAUAUGAUAAGAGAUAUCAAAUGGGUUACAAUUCAUUGAUUCAUAUUCACAGAUGGAUGAACAGAACAAAUGAAAUACAACUUAAUCUUAAAAUUCCUUAAAAGAAAUAGAAAUUAAAAAUCCAACAUAAACCAUUGUUAUGAAUGACUUACCAUUUGGAAUUUCCUCUAUUUCUAUAAAUGUAAUGAUUGAUGCUUUUGUAGCAUAAAAACCAUAGCCCCAUGUGAAAUAUAUUGAUACAUUAUUAACUAGCAUAGGCUCUGUUUCUCUUUUUGUACCUGAAUUCAGUGUAGACAUGUAAAUGUCUGAUUGUCUGGCUGGAAACAACUGAAGUUGCAUAAAGGAUUUGCCAUUUUUAUCAUGGCACUAACUGGAUUUCAGAAGUUUUUUUCUACUUAUCUGGUUCUGGAGGGUGUCCCCAGCUACUCUUCAUACUGCUUUCCUGAAAAUCUUUUUAUCAGAGUCUUAACCACAUCAUGUCAAGACAUUACCUUGAAAAUAGGUGUUGAGAAGAGCUCAGACUAAACCUUGCUGCACUGCCAGCAACAUAUCUGGAUGGAGGAAUAUCUGCCAGAUGACUUGGGCACACGUAUUCUUUUUGAUAGAGGGGACUUCUUUCCUAGACGCAACUAGCUUUCAGCAAAUACAUACAGACCGUCUUCAACUGUUCUAAACAGAAAGAAAACCAAUAUAUUUCAUGCCUCUUUUCUCAGGGAGACACCUUGAAAUACCAAGUGAGUAAGUGAUUAAAAACUACCCGAAAUAUAAUUUCCGUUGGUUGAUUACUAAUAGCAAUCAUUAUAAUUAUCACUAACAGUUGUGAUAAAGGCCAUUAUAAGCCCUAAGUUCUAAAGAAGGGAUCAUUAUAGAUUUUAUUCAUCUGAGCCAGGCAAAUAUUCAUUCUCAAAGGAUAGAUGAUUACUAUUUCUCUAGAAAGUUUAGCUGAGAUAUUUUUAAAAGCAUCUCAAAAAUGGUUCAGCAUUUAUUAACUACCUCUUUCAGGGAAGAUGCUGUAGGAAGAUCACAUCUUUCUGAAGAAGGUGCCAAGAACAUAUUAGCUGCUAGUUUGAGAACCUUCAUCUACACUUCACAGCUACUUUUAGAAAAACAGUUGUAGCAUUUAUCAAACACCACCGAGAAAACAGUAUACAUGUUGGAACUCAGAAUUCAGCAGCUACAGAAAUCUAGCAGGUGUGAACUGGGG